GACGAACGCUGGCGGCGUGCUUAACACAUGCAAGUCGAACGGUAAGGCUCCAGCUUGCUGGGGUACACGAGUGGCGAACGGGUGAGUAACACGUGGGUGACCUGCCCUGCACUUCGGGAUAAGCCUGGGAAACUGGGUCUAAUACCGGAUAGGACCGCACCGUGAGGGUGUGGUGGAAAGUUUUUUCGGUGUGGGAUGGGCCCGCGGCCUAUCAGCUUGUUGGUGGGGUAAUGGCCUACCAAGGCGGCGACGGGUAGCCGGCCUGAGAGGGUGGACGGCCACAUUGGGACUGAGACACGGCCCAGACUCCUACGGGAGGCAGCAGUGGGGAAUAUUGCACAAUGGGCGGAAGCCUGAUGCAGCGACGCCGCGUGGGGGAUGACGGCCUUCGGGUUGUAAACUCCUUUCACCAUCGACGAAGGGUUUCUGACGGUAGAUGGAGAAGAAGCACCGGCUAACUACGUGCCAGCAGCCGCGGUAAUACGUAGGGUGCGAGCGUUGUCCGGAAUUACUGGGCGUAAAGAGCUCGUAGGUGGUUUGUCGCGUCGUCUGUGAAAUUCCGGGGCUUAACUCCGGGCGUGCAGGCGAUACGGGCAUAACUUGAGUACUGUAGGGGAGACUGGAAUUCCUGGUGUAGCGGUGAAAUGCGCAGAUAUCAGGAGGAACACCGGUGGCGAAGGCGGGUCUCUGGGCAGUAACUGACGCUGAGGAGCGAAAGCAUGGGGAGCGAACAGGAUUAGAUACCCUGGUAGUCCAUGCCGUAAACGGUGGGCGCUAGGUGUGGGUUUCCUUCCACGGGAUCCGUGCCGUAGCUAACGCAUUAGGCGCCCCGCCUGGGGAGUACGGCCGCAAGGCUAAAACUCAAAGGAAUUGACGGGGGCCCGCACAAGCGGCGGAGCAUGUGGAUUAAUUCGAUGCAACGCGAAGAACCUUACCUGGGCUUGACAUAUACAGGAUCGCGCCAGAGAUGGUGUUUCCCUUGUGGCUUGUAUACAGGUGGUGCAUGGUUGUCGUCAGCUCGUGUCGUGAGAUGUUGGGUUAAGUCCCGCAACGAGCGCAACCCUUGUCUUAUGUUGCCAGCACGUUGUGGUGGGGACUCGUAAGAAACUGCCGGGGUUAACUCGGAGGAAGGUGGGGAUGACGUCAAAUCAUCAUGCCCCUUAUGUCCAGGGCUUCACACAUGCUACAAUGGUCGGUACAGUGGGUUGCCAGUCCGUGAGGGCGAGCUAAUCCCGCAAAGCCGGUCUCAGUUCGGAUCGGGGUCUGCAACUCGACCCCGUGAAGUCGGAGUCGCUAGUAAUCGCAGAUCAGCAACGCUGCGGUGGAUACGUUCCCGGGCCU
rnacentral:rRNA from 1 species